CCCCCCACCCACACCACCACCACCACCACCACCAUGGCCUUGCCCCGUCUCCUCCUAUCCCCUCCAGGGCCUCGCCCCGUCUCCUCCUAUCCCCUCCAGGGCCUCGCCCCGUCGGCCCUUAUCCCCAGCACGGCCUCGCCCCGCCCCCUCCUCUGACCACCGCGGCCUUGCCUCGCCGCCAACCCCGCGGAUCUUCCCUGGAUCGACUCUGCCACCUUCAUCCUACUGCCCCAGAGGAUAUCGAGAUGUGAGCUGGUCGACACAAUUCGGGAGCAGGCAUAUCGAAUUGGAUCGAGAUCCAGUGCGUCAUCAAGUCGCUCUGGGAAGGAGUUCGCAGCUCGCGUACGUGCUCUACAGGAUCAGCCUAAUCUCUCUAUCGCCGCUGUUGUUGGCUUGCAAUAGACCAGACUAUUUCCAGAGGUACCACAAAGUGGUUGAUUCAAAGUUCGCACUAUUUAUAUCACAGGAUGGUACAAAUGGAGAAGUAAAAAAUAAGGCCUGGAGUUAUACCCAAAUAAUUUAUGCAGCCCAAUGAAGUGUAUCGCCUUGAGCUCCAUUAUUUAGGCCAGAUCUCAUGAGAGGUGUUGUGUCAAUUGCAUUGGCAUACAAUAAGCUGAUGUAUGGUGGUUGCCUUUUUAUAAAUGAGCAAGCGACUGGGGGAGAUCACGACUUGUUCUUUUGAUUUUUUUGGUUCAUCACAUGAUCCAUCAAGCCAGCCAAGGGGGAGAUCAGUGAAGAGGUGAAGUAGAAAUUGGAAUCGGAAUAGGAGGCAUAUCUUCAACUGGUUUGAUGCAUGUUGGAAGAGGCUUGAAGUGGCGGUCGUAACACAGUCAGUUGGGAGGACUCAAUGGCAGAGUUCAUAUAAUUAACAUUUUCCUUGUUAGAGACGACAGUAUCUGGUGUUGUUAGUGAACAUGGACCAUGAAGUGGAGUCUGAUCACUCAUUACCACAUCAACAGGUCCUGAAAGGGAGUACGUACCCCACUACGCUGAGAUCCGGACAUACUGUCUUCUCAAUGGCUCCUGUUCUGAAACGCUUCACGAACCCUGCCUGAACUCAGUGUGCUAUGCAAAUUAUGAUGUACUGUUCGGCAGUAGUCAUAUGUACUGGAGAUGUUGCUGGCUACAGGUCUGAUGACACCGGAGGUAAGGCAGUGCGCCGGGUCGAGGACGUCGCUGACACCGGGGGCGAGGGCGGCGUCGUGAGGACGGCGUAUUGAGGAGAGUUAGGGCUGCAAGGCAGGUCGAGGACGUCGCGGAGACCAGGGGCGAGGGUCACGUGCCGAGGGCGGUCGGGCGGGGCGAAGCGAGGACGGCGGGACGGCGUGCCGACGCGAGGUUCGUGGCGUGGCGGCGUUGAUCGCGGAGAUACGGCAUUAUUCGCUGGAUGGAGUUGUCAUCGUUGGGAUGUGUAGGAGCCUGGAUGUGGGAGUCUGCCGGCAGAACAUUUCCUUACAACCAUCGAUCUGUUUGUAUUAUGGUUGAUGAAACGUGGACAGUUGGAUGGUAGUUAGUGGGUAUGAUCGGACGUCUGGGGUAAUUGUGUGUGCACUUUCUCGUGUGGAUGUAGGGGAAGUAACGUUUGGUCUUUUAAUAGUAGUAUAGAUAGAUCUGGAAACAAUAUGAUAGGAAAUAGACCCGGGGCCGUAGAUUUCACUAGUGGCUUCUCUUGAGAAAAUAGCAUACGGUGGGUAAACAAAUUACUGUUGGGCAACUGAUAGAAGAUCAAAUAUUUAUGAAAGUAUCAAAGGCAAUGAUCA